ensembl:lncRNA
CGAAAGUUUGGACAAACCUACUCAUUCAAGGGUUUUUCUUUAUUUUUACUAUUUUCUACAUCAAAACUAGGAAAUAACACAUAUGGAAUCAUGUUAAACAAAACAAAAUAUAUUUUAUAUUUGAGAUUCUUCUUUGCCUUGAUGACAGCUAUGCACACUCUUGGCAUUUCUCAACCAGCUUCAUGAGUUAGCCACCUGGAAUGCAUUUCAAUUAACAGGUGUGCCUUGUUAAAAGUUCAUUUGUGAAAUUUCCUUCCUUCUUAAUGCGUUUGAGCCAAUACAGAAGAGAAGCCCAAUUUGAAUUGAAUAAAGAACAAGUCCUUAUUAUGGCAAGAACAACAACAAAAAAGCAAAGAGAAACAAUAAUCCAUCAUUACUUUAAGACACAAAUGGUUAGAACUUGUUCUCAACUUGCCUAACUGGUUAAAUAAAAGUUCAAUAAAAGAAUACGGAACAUUUCAAGAACUUUGAAAGUUUCUUCAAGUGCAGUUGCAAAAACCAUCAAGCUCUAUGAUGAAACUGGCUUUCAUGACUACCGGCACAGGAAAGGAACGUCUGCAGCAGAGGAUAAGUUCUUUAGAGUUACCAACCUCAGAAAUCGGCAAUUAACUGCAUCUUAGAUUGAAGCCCAAAUAAAUGCUUCAGAGUUCAACUAACAGAGACAUCUCAACAUCAACUGUUCAAAGGAGACUGUGUGAAUCAGGCUUUCAUGGUUGAAUGGCUGAAAAUAAACCACUACUAAAGGACACAAUAAGAAGAAGAGAUUUGCUUGUGCCAAGAAACACAAGCAAUAGACAUCAGACCAGUGGAAAUCUGUCCUUUGGUUUGAUGAUUCCAAACUUGAGAUUUUUGGUUCAAACCGCUGUGUCUUCGUGAGAUGCAGAAUAGGUGAAAGGGUGAUCUCCACAUGUGUGGUUCCCACCGUGAAGCAAUGAGGAGGAGGUGUGAUGGUGUGGUGGUGCAUUGCUGGUGACACUGCCUGUGAUUUAUUUAGAAUUCAAGGCACACUUAACCUGCAUAACUAACGCAGCAUUCUGCAGCGAUACGCCAUCACAUCUGGUUUGUGCUUAGUGGGACUAUCAUUUGUUUUUCAACAGAACAAUGACCCAACACACUUCGAGUCUGUGUAAGGGCUAUUUGACCAAGACGGAGUGUGUUUGAGUGCUGCAUCAGAUGACCUGGCCUCCACAAUCACCCGACCUCAACAAAAUUGAGAUGAUUUGGGAUGAGUUGGACCACAGAGUGAAGGAAAAACAGCUAACAAGUGCUCAGCAUAUGUGGGAACACCUCCAAGACUGUUGGAAAAUCAUUUCAUUCCAGGGCAUUCCAAAGCUAGUUGACAGAAUACCAAAAGUGUGCAAAGCUGUCAUUAAUGCAAAGGGUGGCUACUUUGAAAAAUCUAAAAUCUAUUUAUUGGUUACAACAUGAUUCCAAAUGUGUUAUUUCAUAGUUUUGACGUCUUCACUAUUAUUCUAAAAUGUAGAUAUUUGCAAGAACAAAGAAAAACACUUGAAUGUGUAGGUGUGUCCAAACUAUUACAAGUUCUGUAUAUAUAGAGUUGAAGUCAGAAGUUUACACACACUUAGGUUGGAGUCUUAAAAAUCGUUUUGGUCCACUCCACAAACUAUAGUCUUGGCAAGUCGGUUAGGACAUCUACUUUGAGCAUGACACAAGUAAUUUUUCCAACAAUUGUUUACAGACAGAUUAUUUCACUUAUAAUUCACAGUAUCAUAAUUUUAGUGGGUCAGAAGUUUACAUACACUAAAUUGACUGUGCCUUUAAACAGCUUGGAAAAUUCCAGAAAAAUAUGUCAUGGCUUUAGAAGAUAGUCUAAUUGACAUAAUUUGAGUCAAUUGGAGGUGUACCUGUGGAUGUAAUUCAACGACUACCUUCAAACUCAGUGCCUCUUUGCUUGACAUCAUGUGAAAAUCAAAAGAAAUCAGCCAAGACCUCAGAAGAAAUGGUAGACCUCCACAAGUCUGGUUCAUCCUUGUGGGGGCAAUAACCAAACGCCUGAAGGUCCACGUUCAUCUGCACAAACAAUAGUACGCAAGUAUAAACACCAUGGGACCACGCAGCCUUCAUAUACCGUUCAGGAAGGAGACGUGUUCUGGUGUGAAAAGUGCAAAACAAUCCCAGAACAACAGCAAAGGACCUUGUGAAGAUGCUGGAGGAAACAGGUAGAAAAUUAUCUAUAUUCACAGUAAAACGAGCCCAUAUAUCGACAUAACCUGAAAGGCCGCUCAGCUCAGCAAGGAAGAAGCCAGUGCUCCAAAACCACCAUAAAAAAGCAAGACUACGGUUUGCAACUGAACAUGGGGACAAAGAUCGUACUUUUUGGAGAAAUGUCCUCUGGUCUGAUGAAACAAAAAUAGAAGUGUGUUUGGCCAUAAUGACUAUCUUUAUGUUUGGAGGAAAAGGGGGGAGGAUUUUAAGCCCGAAGAAUACCAUCCCAACCGUGAAGCACAGGGGUGGCAGCAUCAUAUUGUGGGGGUGCUUUGCUGCAUUUGUUCUUGACUGACUUGCCUAGUUAAAUAAAGGUUUUUAAAAAGUCAGGAAGUUAAAGCUUGUUCGCAAAUGGGUCCUCCAAAUGGAUAAUGACCCCAAGCAUACCUCCAAAGUUGUGGCAAAAUGGCUUAAGGACAACAAAGUCAAGGUAUUGGAGUGGCCAUCACAAAACACUGACCUCAAUCCUAUAGAAAAUUUGUGGGCAGAACUGAAAAAGUGUGUGCGAGCAGGGAGACCUACAAACCUAACUCAGUUACACCAGCUCUGUCAGGAGGAAUGGGCCACCCGAAACGUUUGACCUAAGUUACACAUUUUAAAGGCAAUGCUAUACUAAUUGAGUGUAUGUAAUCUUCAGACCCACUGGGAAUGUGAUGAAUGAAAUUAAAGCUAAAAUAAAUAAUUCUCUAAUAUUGUUCUGACAUUUCACAUUCUUAAAAUAAAGUGGUGAUCCUAACUGACCUAAAACAGGGAAUUUUUACUCUGAUUAAAUGUCAAGAAUUGUGAAAACCUGAGUUUAAAUGUAUUUGGCUAAGGUGUAUGUAUAUUUCAGACUUCAACUAUAUAUAUACUCCGUUCAAAAGUUUGGCGUCAUUUAGAAAUGUCCUUGUUUUUCUUGAUAAGUACUUUUUUGUCUUUUUUUGUAAAGGUUUUGUCCUUCAAAUAACAUUAACUUGAUCAGGAAUACAGUAUAGACAUUGUUAAUGUUGUAAAUGACUAUUGUAGCUGGAAACGGCUGUUUUUUUGAUGAAAUAUCUAUGUAGGCGUACAGAGGCCCAUUAUCAGCAACCAUUACUCCUGUGUUCCAAUUGCACGUUGUGUUAACUAAUCCAAGUUGAUCAUUUUAAAAGGCUAAUUUAUCAUUAGAAAACCCUUUUGCAAUUAUAUUAGAACAGCUGAAAACUGUUGUUCUGAUUAAAGAUACAAAAUAAAACUGGCCUUCUUUAGACUAGCUGAGUAUCUGGAGCAUCAGCAUUUGCGGGUUCAAUUUACAGGCUCAAAAUGGCCAGAAACAAAGCCCUUUAUUCUGAAACUGAUAAUGGGCCUCUGUACGCCUAUGUAGAUAUUCCGUGAGAAAUCGGACGUUUCCAGCUCCAAUAGUCAUUUACAACAUGAACAAUGUCUACACUGUAUUUCUGAUCAAUUUGAUGUUAUUUCAAUGGACCAAAAAAUUGCUUUUCUUUCAAAAACAAGGACAUUUCUAAGUGACCAAAAUACUUUUGAACGGUAGUGUGUAUAUAUAUAUAUAUAAAUAUAUAUGUAUGUACAAAUGUAUAAACUGUAUAUAAACAGAGUUGUUCGUCGAUUGCACAGCACAGUAUUUCUUUUUGUCUAACAUUUGAAUAAAUGGAUAUUCUGCCA